rnacentral:pre_miRNA from 1 species
UAUUAAAAAUUUCAUUCAUUCCUACUAUUAAAAGUUGACGUCAUUGACGAAAAAAUUGAACGGUUACACAUAAUGUGUUAUAUAUACCUCAUGACAUACAUUGACCAGUUUUUAACAGUGGGAAUGAACAGAGUUUUUAGCA